UUCUCAUCGGGAUCCUUGCCUUAGUGAAUGUCCAGACCAUUUGUUUAUCCAUUGUCCUUUCUCAUUGGGAUCCUUGCCUUAGCGAAUGUCCACUGGGUUAAGCCCUCCUCCAUCAAGGAUCUCUUUUUCUCUUGGCAUGCAGCGAACGGUGGGAGAGUUGGUAGGAAGAAAUGGAGACUUGCUUUGUUAGCUAUUCUAUGGGCAAUCUAGGAGAAUGGAAUAAUCGGUGCUUCUGUAAUAAAAAGCAUCUCAGUUGCUAGGGUUUUUAAUAAGGUUAUUCAGUACUUCUAGGAUUGGGCUCCUUGAUUUGGGUUUUGUUGUUUUUUGGGGUUAUUCCAACUGAGAGGCUGGCUGUUGUUGUAUUUCUACCUUUUGCUUUAGGUUUUUUAAAAGGCCUUUUCUAGGUUUUUUGGUCUCUUUCUCUCUCUCUCUCUCUCUCUCUCUCUCUGUGUUUGCUUUCCUUCUUUGUUUGCUCCUCUUUUUCUUUUUGGCUGCGGCCUAAUAAAGUUUCAUCUUUCAAAAAAAAAGAAAAAAAGAAAAAAAAAAGGUUUGCUUGGAGUGAGAUGUAUGCACACAAACAUGCGUAUGUGGUUGAAUCCUCUUAAAUGGGACAAUAUGUGCUGAGUUUUGAAAGUCAAGCCUGAUUGUAGGCGGUUUGGGGUCGUUUUUGCUGUAAAGGUGGGGCGUACUGUAUUGUACAGUAUCAGAAUCAGUACAUAUUGGUCAGUAGAUACCAUUACCGACUAUAUUUUAAACCUUGGUAUUCAGGGACUGUUGUUGGUGUAAUAAGGCCAACAUGAACUAGACCACAUGCAUUGUCAUCCAAUGUCUCUUGAUGUUGACUACUACUGUAACACUGGUCAAUCGCUUCUCUUGCUAGGUUGCGACAAGUUUUCAAUGUAGGCAGAGUCCUGGUGAUCCUACAGAGUCAUCCAAUGGGACCCUUUAAGGAGAGUAGGCCAAAUUCUGCCAGUCCGCAAGCAUUGUCAUCUAAUUACUCACUAUUGGUUGACUGUUAUGGCAAAAUUUGUCAAAUAAAUCCUCUAACCAGGUUGCUUUGAGACACUACAUGAAUCCCUUCUUGUGGCCUUGUCAUAGGGGUAUUUGUGUUGGUAGCUAGAUGUGUCAUGUAAAUGGUUUACACCAUGCUAUUUUUGAACCUUUCAAUGUGGCAUAUGAUGAUGUCUGUAAUGCAGAUGGCAUCUUGGCAUCAAAUGCACUUGUUAUGAGCUAAAUCUGUUCAAUAUUUCUCUUUGCCUUAGUUUGUUAUCCUCUAUGUUAACUCACGUACUUUAGUACAGCUAUAGUUUCUUGAUUUAGUUGUGCUCUAUUCUAUCCGUUGAAUGGAGCUACUGUGCUUCUUUGUGUGCAUGACUGUCAUUGGUGGUUUAAGCAUAUGAUGUGCUCUGCAUUUGAAGUCUUGAAGGUGUGUUCUACACUUUGUACAUCCUCAAAAAGUCAAGCACAAAGUUUUGUGCUGCGCUUGGAUCCAUUUCCUGCUCCUUACUUCUGAGCAGUUCAUAUAUAUAUAUAUAUAUAUACACAUACAUACAUACAUACAUAUACAUGUAUGUAUGUAUAUGUGUUGAUAUAUUGAAGUUCUUCAGAGACUUUAUUCUGUUAAAGGGUGUCCCAAGCAAGGUGGUUUGUCUCUCUUGCGGACUUAAUGGGCCUUCUAUCUCAAGAGUUGACGAGGAGCAAUAAACCACCGUGCAGCUUCUUCUGCCCAAAAUCUUUAUGGACAAGGAUGGAAGAAUCAGUUGUACUUGCUACCAAAAUGCCAGCCAUUUGUUCUUCCUUAUGGGCUUCUUGAUACUGUUGGAAAGGAAGAGUUGAACGAUGGAGUAUAACCUUAAGGGCUUUCCAAAGAGAUCUGUUGUACUGGAAAACCCCAUUUGAGAAGAUGAAUGUUGGAAAAUGUUGUAAGGAGUACUUAAGAGGUUUUAUACAUUGUUUCUACUAUUGGAAUCCAGACCAGGAUAUGUUGACCCAAAAAACUUGAUUCGGGUGAGUUGACCAGGUGAUAUGUACAAGUUUCUGAAAUUUUAACUAAGUUGGAUUUGAUAGCAUAAUAACAGAAAGAAUGUGUGAAAUUCUACAAAACAUAUGGAGCAGUUGAAUGGAGAAUCCAUACAAACAAUAGAAAGUCUGAUUGUUCUUGAGGGGACACCAAAACUCGUUGUCCCUUAAUCCGAACUGUACACAUGUUACGUGAUUGGACAUUCAUAUGAUGGGCAAACUGUGGAUUGGCCAGUCCAAAAUCACUACCUUUCAGAUCAUCCUGUUUUUGCAUAAAUGGAUGGUUAAAAACAAAUAUCAGCAAUGGUCAGCACAAAUGGGCAGAAUUUGUCCAAUUAGAUGAAAUUUGCUCAUCAUCCUGUGCGAGUUUGGGGAAUGUUACAUCUCUUGUUGGCUCACUAAAUGAAUAGUAUGAAUCUCGUACAUUUGUGCUGCAUCUAUAGUUUUAGGAGGACGCUAGCUCAUCGAAAAAAGAUUGAGGGACCCUAGUUAUUGGUCUCCGUAAGAAACACCAAAGACUUCCCUGCAAACAAUAAACGAGCACGCACCUGUUUCUAAAAAAAUGUACCACGAGUGGAAUUCACCCAUAUCAAAACUGAGUUUAACCAUUUGAUUAAUGAAUGACCCGGUUGAGUAGAAACUGAUCCAGUUGAAUCAGACGAUUUCCUUUUUAUUUAGUUGGGUUGAGAUUUCGACAAGGUAAAACAUGACAGUAUUGGCUGCUGAAUUGGUUGAUACGGCCCCCAAAUAAAAAUGUAGGCUGCUGUAUCACCUAUAUCAAAACUGAGGAUCCCAAAUAUCCAUGCUUUUUUUUUUUUUUUUUUUUGGUUUUAGAUGUGCGUUUAAUAGUAUAACGGGCCAUUCUUUGGUAAGAAUGUUGUUUGUUGGGUAAGCGUAAGCUUGACCUUACUGAAAGUCGACCACAUAGGCCCUAAUCGAACACAAAUCAAGCACGAUUUGCUUACAUAUAAUUACUAUCUAAAAUAAAAUAAAAUAAAAUAAAAAUACAGUGAGAUGGGAAAAUGGAAAAAAGUGAUGGUUUACCCGUUCUUCCAAUGUUCCCAAAAUGGUCCACGCCACUUUGGUUCGUUGAAUCCUUGGAAUAGGACUAGGUCCGGUUUAAAUUUAGUUUCUAAGCUUCCUUCAUGGUUGAAAUAAAUAAAGAAGUGGAAAAAAUGAGAGAAAUUGGAAAAGAAAUUUCAUAAUGGGCCCUUUAUGGUUGUAACAGCCCGUAACGGGCAUAUCGGUCCAUUACAACUAAUGUGGGCCAUUAAAGCCCAUUUUUUU